rnacentral:rRNA from 1 species
CCUACGGGAGGCAGCAGUGGGGAAUUUUGGACAAUGGGCGAAAGCCUGAUCCAGCAAUGCCGCGUGAGUGAAGAAGGCCUUCGGGUUGUAAAGCUCUUUUGUCAGGGAAGAAACGGCCUGUUCUAAUACAGUGGGCUAAUGACGGUACCUGAAGAAUAAGCACCGGCUAACUACGUGCCAGCAGCCGCGGUAAUACGUAGGGUGCAAGCGUUAAUCGGAAUUACUGGGCGUAAAGCGUGCGCAGGCGGUUUUGUAAGUCUGUCGUGAAAUCCCCGGGCUCAACCUGGGAAUGGCGAUGGAGACUGCAAGGCUAGAGUUUGGCAGAGGGGGGUAGAAUUCCACGUGUAGCAGUGAAAUGCGUAGAUAUGUGGAGGAACACCGAUGGCGAAGGCAGCCCCCUGGGUCAAGACUGACGCUCAUGCACGAAAGCGUGGGGAGCAAACAGGAUUAGAUACCCUGGUAGUCCACGCCCUAAACGAUGUCUACUAGUUGUCGGGUCUUAAUUGACUGUACGUCGAGCUACGUACGUGAGUAGACCGCCGUCGGGAGGUACGGUCGGUCGAGAGUUAAACGUUACGUAAGUUAGUUAAGUUAGACGGCGNGAGAGNGCGACGGACGACGACGAGGGAGGAGG